rnacentral:rRNA from 1 species
GAAUUUUGGACAAUGGGGGCAACCCUGAUCCAGCCAUCCCGCGUGUGCGAUGAAGGCCUUCGGGUUGUAAAGCACUUUUGGCAGGGAAGAAAAGGCUCUGGCUAAUACCUGGAGCUGCUGACGGUACCUGCAGACUCAGCACCCGCUCACUACGUGCCAGCAGCCGCGGUAAGACGUAGGGUGCAAGAGGUAAUCGGAAUUACUGGGCGUAAAGGGUGCGCAGGCGGUUGGGCAAGAAGGAUGUGAAAUCCCAGGGCUUAACCUGGGAACUGCAUUCUUAACUGCCGGGCUAGAGUAUGUCAGAGGGGGGUAGAAUUGCACGUGUAGCAGUGAAAUGCGUAGAGAUGUAGAGGAAUAGCGAUGGCGAAGGCAGCCCCCUGGGAUAAUACUGACGCUCAUGCACGAAGGCGUGGGGAGCGAACAG